AUUUAUAUAGUUUAAUAAAAACAUUACAUUUUCAUUGUAAAAUUAGAAAUUUUCUUAUAAAUA
rnacentral:tRNA from 5 species